rnacentral:rRNA from 1 species
AGCGCAGGUGGGCAGGUGUGUCGGGCGUGAAAUCCCGGGGCUUAACCCCGGAACGGCGCCCGAAACUAUCUGUCUUGAGGAUUGGAGAGGCGGGUGGAAUUCCAGGUGUAGCGGUGAAAUGCGUAGAUAUCUGGAGGAACACCGACGGCGAAGGCAGCCCGCUGGACAAAUCCUGACACUCAGGCUCGAAAGUAUGGGGAGGCAAAAG